CACGCUGUAAACGAUGAGUGCUAGGUGUCGGGGGUCAAACCUCGGUGCCGCCGUUAACACAUUAAGCACUCCGCCUGGGGAGUACGUUCGCAAGAAUGAAACUCAAAGGAAUUGACGGGGACCCGCACAAGCAGCGGAGCAUGUGGUUUAAUUCGAGGCUACGCGAAGAACCUUACCAGGGCUUGACAGGAAACUUAAGACCCUAGAGAUAGGGGGAUAAUAAGUGAAACAGGUGG
rnacentral:rRNA from 1 species